AAGCGCUUUCAAGUUGGAUGGGGAACAUUAGUCAACAGCAAUUUCAAAGGCCACAGAUUCUCAAUUGGAUUCAGGUCUCGCCUUUCUUCAGCAAUGGCUUAUUUCUCUCGCCGGGCUUCCAUAAAGCCCAGCUUUGUGGAAUGUACAGGUGGUAGUUGUCCCAAGGCCGGUUUCCCCCCCGUCUCAGCUGUGGAUCUCUCCAGCUCUUUCACAGUUACCAUUGGCCUCUUGGUUGCUUCUCGGUCUAAUACCUUCCUUACCCGGGUCACUGAGUUUUGGUGGACGGCCUUCUUUAGUCAGAAGUAGCCCUUGUGCCAUAUUCUUUCCAUUUUUAUAUUUUUUAUAAUGGAUUUAACAGUGAGUUCUUGACCUACUGAUGGCGUGGCUGCUAUGACAACGGGCUGUUCAGACUGUACUCAGGCCUGUACUGACGUGUGUGGCUGUAGCUGUAGGGUUCCCUAUAAAGUGCAUAGGGCCCAGGUCAAACGUUGUGCAUUGAGUUCAACACAGUGAUCAUUUUCAGAUACUUUCUGUUUUCCUUCUCCUAUCCAGAUUCAACCUUGAAGCAUAAUUAAUAUACCCAGUAUAUGAUAGACAUCCUCAAUGAAUCCUGAGCAUGAAUUCAUUAGUUGUAAUUACAGAUUUCAUAUGGGGAGAGGCCACAGAACAGGGGAUGAGGAGGAGGAGUAGGAAGGCUCCACAGAACAGGGGAUGAGGAGGAGGAGUAGGAAGGUUCCACAGAACAGGGGAUGAGGAGGAAGAGUAGGAAGGUUCCACAGAACAGGGGAUGAGGAGGAAGAGUAGGAAGGUUCCACAGAACAGGGGAUGAGGAGGAGUAGGAAGGCUCCACAGAACAGGGUCAAUCAAAUGUAUCCUGCAUCUUUCUCGCUCUCUCUCUCCCUCCCUCUCUCUCCCUCUCUCUCGUAACAACCAUGUAAAUUCAAGUAAUUGAACAAUCAGGUGCUCUCUCUCUCAGUAAAGUAGAGGAGUAAUCUGCCAGAGGCUGAGAAUUUCAAAUGAUCUUAACCAGACACUUAAUUCAAUUCCUACAGCUUUAUGAACAAAAUAAGUGGUGUGUUUAAUUCAAAUAAUCAGCACAAGGUACGAAGUCUAUCAGAGUAUGGGCACUGGUCAAAACAAGUAGUGAAGUCAGAGCUUGAUUACAACCAAACAGUGUUUGUUUGACUCCCUCAGUUAUAUCUUGACCAACAAAAAAAAGAAACGUCCGUUUUUCAGGACCCUUGUUUUUCAAAGAUAAUACCCUUAUUGGCCUUCUUGCAACACCUGAGUUAAGAAAAGAUUUACUAAAUAAACUAAUGCAACAUAUUGAAUGCCAACCACCAUUAAACCCACCGAAGAAGAAGAAGUAGUCCUGUUGCGUUUUGAUAGUCAGGGAACAGGAAGUUCCGGGCAGGCUUCGGCCACAAUUGUUCUCUGAAGACAGUAGCGGUUGUGUCCGUUUCAGAAGUAUUAACUAAAGGCCUGUGCUUUUUUGACAGCAUCUUCACUAAAAGAGGCCUAUGGCAUAACCCCUCAAGUGGAGUCUGGGUUUUUAACUCAACAGCCCUUCACUGACAUGGAGACCAACUCAGAUUAAGUCUGAGGCCGGUAACAUCAACAGUGAGGACAAACCCAGCCUGCCUCUCCCCUUCCACACUGAGUCCAAACCUACAGUCACUGGGUCCUGAUUGUGACAGUGGAGCCCAGUUUGCACUGCAGGAUCCAGAGAUGGCAUCAGUGAAGCUGGAAGACUGCAGUCAAACACUGGAGCUGAAUGUCAACAUUAAAGAUGAAGAAGAGGAGGAGGAGAUUGGUACAUCUGUUAGUCAUGGAGACCAUGUUGAGACAUUCUCUACAUCUAGAGAGCAACAGCAGGAAGAUCACAGAGCUAAGA